UUUUGGUGAAGAAAUAGAAGUAAAUAGAGAACACCAGAAUCAACUCUGGUUCUGCAGAGAAGUUCCAUGGUAGUGAAAUGGCUCUGUCACUUCCUGCAUUCCUCACACUUUUGUUAUUAAAGUGUUCUGCCUCCCAAGAAUCAUUUGCUGAAGGAUGAGAUACAUACUGUGCCUCUCAGUAUAUAUGAGAGGAUGGUUUUAAUUGAUAUUUCUUGGAACAAAGCUUUGCUUUAAGAAAAAAUAUGAACGGAUUAGUCAGAGUACCAGUGGAUUGUCUUCAUGAGGUGCUUCAAGGUAAGCAGGAUCACAGAAUCCCUUCCUAGUUCAUCUAAUAAUUUCAAUGAAAUAACACUAAUCAUCCACUUUCAUUAGUGGUUUAAAAGGAAAUGUGUAUUUUAUUUCAGAAAUCAACUAAUUAUAAGCUGAACACAACAUAAGUCAUCUUGUUAUGUGUGUUAAGAGCUUUGGGAUCAAAUACUCCAUACUAUACCUUAAUACGUUUUAAACUCCUGGCGACAAACAGAUGGAGUGUUGUGUUCAGCGCAUUUCUUCAGAGUUUCUAAAUCUGCCUGAUGGGAAUUCCGUUACCUGCACCAGCUGUACAUCUGACCUCUUUGACUUCUACUUGCCAGGCUCGGAAUAAAUGAGGCAGCACUGGCUUGUAUUUAAAAUAAAGUAUAUGUAAAUAUGGACAAAUCUGACAUGUUGCUGCAGUGCCUAUUUAAAAUGUGUGCUCUCUGGUAUAACCCCUGUGCCCAUAACUAUAAAGUCUUUCAAAC
rnacentral:lncRNA from 1 species